GACGAACGCUGGCGGCGUGCUUAACACAUGCAAGUCGAACGGAAAGGCCCUGCUUUUGCGGGGUGCUCGAGUGGCGAACGGGUGAGUAACACUUGAGUAACCUGUCCCUGACUUUGGGAUAUCUUCAGGAAACUGGGGCUCAUACCGCAUAGGAUCUCUUGCUGCAUGUUGGGGGUUGGAAAGUUUCGGCGGUUGGUGAUGUACUCGCGGCUUAUCAGCUUGUUGGUGGGGUAGUGGCUUACCAAGGUUUUGACGGGUAGCCGUCCUGAGCGGGUGACCGGCCACAAUGGGACUGAGAUACGGCCCAGACUCGUACGGGAGGCAGCAGUGGAGAAUAUUACAGAAUAGGCGGAAGCCUGAUGCAGCAACGCCGCGUGCGGGAUGACGGCCUUCGGGUUGUAAACCACUUUCGCCUGUGACGAAGCGUGAGUGACGGUAAUGGGUAAAGAAGCACCGGCUAACUACGUG
rnacentral:rRNA from 1 species